UUGGGUCAGGGUUCGAACAUUGUUCGACCCGAAACAAGUUUUCUAAAGUCCAAACACGCCAAAACCCAAAAACACAGACACGAACAGUCGAACACAACUCAAGCACUGAAGGCUGAAGCACAUACCUCGUCGGCUCCGCCUUCUUCUCCGACGAGUGCGCCUUCUCGUGGAGUCCGCUGCCGCCCUCCGAUCGACGCGCCUCCGCCUCACCGUCACCAUCACCACCCAUCGCCUCCUCCUCGCCGACGCCGAAACCCUUGCCGCCGCGUGCGGCCGACCAUUGUCGACAGCUUGGGGACUGGGUUCGCUCGGCGAUCAUGGCGCUCGCUUCUCGCCUCGUUUCCAAGCUUAGAUGUAUAUUUGCUUGAGGCUUGAGCUAAGACACCGGAUAUUGUUCCUUUUCUUUUCGAGCUGCGAGGGUGAUUGUUCUUUCGCGUUGUGUGCAGACUCUGUGUUUGCUUCAAUUCCUGAGUGAACUGCGACGUACAGUUUUUGAGCGAUCGUGACACUGAAGUUAGCGGGUUCCCAUGUCGGCAUAUCUCGCGAAGCUUGCUCGCAUCUCCGUGAAACCAUACUGAAGUGAGGAUCAUCCACGGGACAUGAUGGGUUCGGAGGUUGAAACGCUUGAGGAGAGAUUGAAGU
rnacentral:lncRNA from 1 species